GCCCAUCCAUUCCCAAUCCGCACAGCUUUCGUCCGCGCCCAAGUCUCCACGGCCAACGAACCUUCUUCUUGUUAUUCUUCUUUGCUCUUCUUCUUCUUGUUAUUCUUCUUUGCUCUUCUUCUUCUUGUUACUGUUCCUGUUCUUCUUCUUGGUUUGUUAUGUGUUACUAUGUUCUUGCUAAUCUUCCUUCUUAACUAUCCGUUUGAUUUUAUUUUUUUUAUUGGUUUUGAAUUUGGCGUUAUACGAAUAACGAAUCCGUAUUUGUUUAAGAUUACAGAGUCUACACUUGUUGAGGAAAGCAAGUCUAUUGGGAUUCAUCAUCAUCACUAUGUUUCAUACAGGUAUAUAUGUUUUCAUUUAUUAUCAGUUAUCUUUUUCUGUUCUUUUCAAGCUUAUAUUCUGCAGAUAGAAUGUUUGCUGAAUGUUACCGGCUUUCUUGUGGACACAGAUUUUCUAAAACUCCCACUGAAUCUGUGUUGUGAUAUCGCAUAGUAUUGACAUUGACUAUCCAAUACAAACACGCAUAUAAAGAUACAAUAUAUUCUUUAAAAUAUAAUAAAAAAAAUAUGAAUCUAUAUAUUAUAUAAUUAUAAAUUAUAUAAUAAAAAUUUAUUAUAAUAUAAAUGUUGUUAAAGUAUAAAGAUAUCUCGGAGUAGAUACUUGUAACUAUGUAUUUGAAGGAUUACCGGCAGAAGACUUGGCUCCGUAAAAGGUGAGACCAAGAUUGCCACAUUGAAUGAAAAUAAUCGAAUUUCAAAGCCUUUAAUCAACCUAUCCUAUCCCACUAAACUCAUUCAAUUAAGGAAUUAUAUAAAAAAAAUAUUAUUAAGUAUAACUCAAAAUAACAUUUACAUCACAUAAAAUAACAAAUAAAAUAACCGAUUUAGUAAAAGAAAAUUAAGAGAUAGUUUAUUGGUUAUAUCAUGAAUAACAAAAAAAUUGAGUCAUCUUUUUCACUUUUAUUUGUUUGACCGUAAGUUUGGUGGAAAUAGGCUUGGCCAUGGUUAAUUAAGAGAAUUAAAGAAUUGGGAAAUAUUAGGACAACUUAAAUUUAUAUUUAAGUUACAAUUAAAAUUAAUUAAUUACACUAAAAUUACUAAUAAUAAGAGAAUAUUUAAAAAAAAUAUUAAUUAAUUAAUAUUAAUUUUGUAAAUUAAAUUAUUUAAAUCACAACUCAACAAUAAAGUUUAAAUUUUGUAAAAAAAUCUAAUUAAUAUAAACAGUAUAUAACGAAAUUUCAGGAUGUUUUACAAUUCCUGACUAAAGAAAAACUACACUGUUUCCAUUAUAAUAAUUAUUUUUUCUUAAAAAAAAGUGUCAAUUUUACUUAGUAGUUUUCAUGAUCACUUAAAAAAAAAGUGUCAACAUACCACUUUCACUUAAAGGAUGUUCCAAAAUAACAUGGACCAAAACAAUAACAAAAAUUUUACGAUGAACAAUAAUAAAAAAAAUUAAAAGCCAAAAUCAAAAUAUAAAAUUUGUUGAAAAAAAAAACCAGUACACUUUAUAAACUUAACCAAUGCUAGCAAAGUGUAGAAACCAAAAUUUAAGUAAAAAUUUUACAGAGAACCGAAACGAAAAUUAAUUUAUUGAGAAACAUAUCUAGAAUUCCGAAAUUUAUGGUAAGCCAAAAUAUUAUUCAUAAAAAACAACUUUUUCACUUUCAUAAUUUCUUCUACAAAUCUACAGAAACCAAUAAAACAUGAAAACAAUACCAUUUUGGAAAUCUCUUUAUAAAAGGAAAUACAAACAUUAAACUUUUUCUCAAAUUAAACUGAACCUUAUAAGUUCAAUAUCAAGUCUGAUGAAAGUGGAAGAAUAGAAUAAUAACACAUAAAAGCGUUUGAUUAACAUAUUCAGUAACAUAAUAGUUAUAGCAAAUUAGAAGAAUCCAGAAAAGGUGGGUCACACCUCAGUAUUUUACCAGCUACCUUCUAUGUCAGAAUUCAGAUACAAAAUAAAAUAAGCAUACAUACACCUGGUAAAUUCAAGCAAAAUAUAGAUUAAUCGAGAAAAUAGAAUGUAAAGUAUCCUAUUCUAUAAAUUUUAUAACAUACACUGAUGAUUAAUCUGGGUAGAAGAAAUUAACUUAAUCUGAAAGAUUAUGAUCAGACAGAUACUACACUGUUUACACGAACUUCUGUAAGAGAUGCAACAAUAUUACAGUAUCUUGUCGGACAUGAAACAGCAUUAUUCAGUUCUCGAAUUGCCUUCACUUAGGGCCUUCCCCGCCUCAAGCUGCAUGAUGGACAUUUGUAUUGCUUUAUGCUCUCAGCUUUUGCAGGAGUAAUCUUCACACAUUUACCAUGGAACCACCUCUCACAUAUGUCACAACCAAUCCAAAAUUCAUCUGCAUUGUAAUUUCCGCCACAGCUCCCACACAGGGUUUCACUAUGCUCGUCAUCCUCCUCUGCAAAACCUUCAU
rnacentral:lncRNA from 1 species